rnacentral:rRNA from 1 species
GGGGAAUAUUGCACAAUGGGGGAAACCCUGAUGCAGCGACGCCGCGUGAGUGAAGAAGUAUUUCGGUAUGUAAAGCUCUAUCAGCAGGGACGAUAAUGACGGUACCUGACUAAGAAGCCCCGGCUAACUACGUGCCAGCAGCCGCGGUAAUACGUAGGGGGCAAGCGUUAUCCGGAUUUACUGGGUGUAAAGGGAGCGUAGACGGUGAUGUAAGUCAGAUGUGAAAACCCAGGGCUCAACCCUGGGACUGCAUUUGAAACUAUGUUACUAGAGUGCAGGAGAGGUAAGUGGAAUUCCUAGUGUAGCGGUGAAAUGCGUAGAUAUUAGGAGGAACACCAGUGGCGAAGGCGGCUUACUGGACUGUAACUGACGUUGAGGCUCGAAAGCGUGGGGAGCAAAC